rnacentral:snRNA from 1 species
UUGAGAAUGAUAGAGCUGUGGCAUCUGUCAACCCACUGAUUGCCAGAGUUCAUGUGACUAAUAUGGCUGGCUAGAUGUCCUCUUCCUCACUCAUCACAUACUGAUGAAUACUCCUGAAAUUCUGUGCCUGGUCAAAGAGAAUGAUGUUCCCUAGUAGAGAAGAACCGCUUUUCAAAUCAAAAGCAAGCUGUCACAGCACUCACCUACAAGAAACUUUGUACCAGUUAAACGAUUACUGGCAAAUUUAAGCAGAAAAUGGGGAUUAUUAUAAGGAUAUUAGGC